rnacentral:rRNA from 1 species
CUAGUACGAGAGGAACCGUUGAUUCACACAAUUGGUCAUCGCGCUUGGUUGAAACGCCAGUGGCGCGAAGCUACCGUGUGCCGGAUUAUGACUGAACGCCUCUAAGUUAGAAUCCAAGCUAGCAUGCGACGCCUGCGCCCGCCGCCGGCCCCGACCCACGUUAGGGGCGCUGGUGCCCCCACGGGCCCGUGCCAU